rnacentral:rRNA from 1 species
GACGAACGCUGGCGGCGUGCUUAAUACAUGCGAGUCGAACGGAAAGGCCAUGAUCGUAGGGUACUCGAGUGGCGAACGGGCGAGUAACUCGCGGGUGAACAGCCUUGCUCUUCGGGAUAAGUCUGUGAAACAGGGCGUAACUCCUGACAGGAGCUAUUUUUAGCGGGAUGGUUGGAAAGUUUAUGCGGUGUAGGAUGAGCUUGCGGCCUAUCCGCUUGUUGGUGGGGUAAUGGCCUACCAAGGCGGCGACGGGGAGCAGGCCUGCGGGGCUGGACGGCCGCCCUGGGACCGAGGGGCGGCCCCGACUCCGACGGGUGGCAGAAGUGGGGAAUCCUGCACGAGGGGCGCCAGCCUGAUGCAGCGAGGCCGCGGGGGGGAUGACGGCCUUCGUGUUGUAAAAUCCAUUCGCUAGGGACGAAGCUUUUUGUGACGGUACCUAAAUAAGAAGCCCCGGCUAACUACGUG